rnacentral:rRNA from 1 species
GACGAACGCUGGCGGCGUGCUUAACACAUGCAAGUCGAACGGAGUGGCGAACGGGUGAGUAACACGUGGGUGAGCUGCCCUGCACUUCGGGAUAACCCUGGGAAACUGGUUCUAAUACCUGCUAGUGUGGGAUGGGCCCGCGGCCUAUCAGCUUGUUGGUGGGGGAAUGGCCUACCAAGGCGGCGACGGGUACCCGGCCGGAGAGGGGGGACGGCCACAGUGGGACUGAGACACGGCCCAGACUCCUACGGGAGGCAGCAGGGGAGAAGAUUGCACAAUGAGCGGAAGCCUGAUGCAGCGACGCCGGGGGGGGGAUGACGGCCUGCGGGUUGUAAACUCCUUUCAGCAUCGACGCGGUAGAUGGAGAAGAAGCACCGGCUAACUACGUGCCAGCAGCCGCGGUAAUAC